CGCCAGGGAAUUACGAGCCAAGCUUAAAACCCAAAGGACUUGACGGUGUCCCAACCAACUAGAGGAGCCUGUUCUGUAAUCGAUGAUCCACGUUUUACCUGACCCCCCCUUGCCCUUCAGCCUGUAUACCUCCGUCGUAAACCCGCCAUAUGAAUGUUUUCCAGCGGGUACAAUGACCCCCCCCCGUCAAUACGUCAGGUCAAGGUGCAGCCCAUGGGAGGAGGAAGUGAUGGGCUACAAUUUCUAAUCUAAAACAAACGAACUACUGCAUGAAACACAGUAUGAAGGAGGAUUUAGUAGUAAAAAGAAAAUAGCAUGUUCUUUUUAACAUGGCCCUGGGACGUGUACACACCGCCCGUCACCCUCAA
rnacentral:rRNA from 1 species